CAAAGUCACCCUAUCUGUCUUCCUCUCCAGGAGCAGCUCACUUCCAAUGACUGGUUGAUGCAGGGGUACAAAUACCCGACCCUCUUGCCUGGAUUCUGGACACAUCUCUGAAGGGCCGAGAGUUAGGUUGAAGGCAGUUUUGCAAAAACGGCAUGUUGGCAGUGGUUGUUUUUCAGCUACUUGGAAAUGUGCUGACUUCAAGACUCUGGAAUAAACUUUAACAUGGAAAUGACUGCCAUACUUUAACAGGGUAACUGAAGAAGAACUAAUUAGUAUCAUCAAAAGAUUACUUGGGAGGUUUCAUAUAAAACAUCAUUUCACAAUGAUGUUCUGUUGAAAUUUCAGUGAAAAAGUAUCUUUGAAUGAGAUUUAACAAGAAUUCAAGUAUAUCUAAGAAGUCAAGUAUAUAACCAAAUGGUAAUGGAAGGUUUCAGGGCUGAAAAAAUAUAACUCCAUGUGUCUGUCUAUCUGUGUGUGUGUGUGUGUGUGUGUGNNNNNNNNNNNNNNNNAGAGAGAGAGCGAGAGAGACAGAUUGAGAAUAUGAAUCCUUGUUUCCAGCUUGAGCCAAAAGGAAAUUCAGCUAGGAUUCAAACAUCAGACAUAUCUUAGCCCAUUUGGAUGCCUGCGAACCUAGUACCAACAGAAUUGAUUUGCUCAAGGGACCGACCGAGGAGCCAGCUAGUCAAACCUAAGGAAGGAAUAAUAAAGGCACACAAAUGUAACGAAGGUUAGUGCCACAGAGUUGGAAAGGAGAGCAUUCCUGAAUAAACCCAAGUGCUUACUACUCACAGCAUCCUCCAGCUCAAGGUUGAGUCCUAGGGAGAGGAGCUGCAAGUAUAAAGUGAAAGAGGAAAAGAUAAAAAUCUCUGCACUGUAUCCUGGGUGCCAGAGCCAGUUAGAUUUGAGGACUCAUACAAUAUUAACAGUGGCCAACAUUUGCUGAGCCCUCACUGUGGACUAGGUACAACCCUGUGAGGUAAGUACUCUUAUUGUUAACCCCACUUUACGGAUGAGGAAACGUAGGCAAACAGAGAUUAAAUAAUUGCCCAUAGUCACACUGCCACCAGACAGAAGAGCUGAAACUCAGACCGCAGGACGAGGGAGUAUGAUUCUCC
rnacentral:lncRNA from 1 species